rnacentral:rRNA from 1 species
GACGAACGCUGGCGGCGUGCCUAAUACAUGCAAGUCGAGCGGGCCUCCGGAGGUGCUUGCACCUCCGGAAGGCCAGCGGCGGACGGGUGAGUAACACGUGGGCAACCUGCCUUUGAGGCCGGGAUAACACCGGGAAACCGGUGCUAAUACCGGAUACGUCCUCUUUCGCGCCUGCGAGAGGGGAGAAAGACGGUCUUUAAGGCCGUCGCUCAAAGAGGGGCCCGCGGCGCAUUAGCUGGUUGGUGGGGUAAGGGCCUACCAAGGCGACGAUGCGUUGCCGACCUGAGAGGGUGAUCGGCCACACUGGGACUGAGACACGGGCCAGACUCCUGCGGGAGGCAGCAGUAGGGAAUCAUCCGCAAUGGGCGAAAGCCUGACGGUGCAACGCCGCGUGAGUGAGGAAGGUUUUCGGAUCGUAAAGCUCUGUUGUGAGGGAAGAACAGCUUCCGGAGGAAAUGCCGGAGGUUUGCCGGUACCUCACCAGAAAGCCCCGGCUAACUACGUGCCAGCCGCCGCCGUAA